rnacentral:rRNA from 1 species
UACGUAGGGGGCGAGCGUUGUCCGGAAUCAUUGGGCGUAAAGCGCGUGUAGGCGGCCAUCCAAGUCCGAUGUGAAAGCUCGGGGCUCAACCCCGAGUCUGCAUUGGAAACUGAAUGGCUUGAGUCCGGAAGAGGAGACUGGAAUUCCUGGUGUAGCGGUGAAAUGCGCAGAUAUCAGGAAGAACACCGGUGGCGAAGGCGGGUCUCUGGGACGGUACUGACGCUGAGACGCGAAAGCAUGGGUAGCAAACAGG